AUAAUUCAAAAAUUUGAAUUAAACUUUGUAAGUUUGCAGCGAUGAAUACGAAAAUAUUUCUAUUUGUCUUAGUUGCCGUUUUUACGGUUGCCUUGAUUUCCGAUGUUAUGGCUGAUCCAUCAGCUGAAGCAAACUCUGCUGCACUCUCACGAUCUAAGAGGGACAUUAUGGCAGAAUUUUUGAAGUUCCUUAACAGCAUACCUGCAUUUGCACCAAUCAAUACAAUAAUAAAGAAAAUAAUUAGUGCAAUAAUUUCAUUCUUUUCAUUAUUUCCAUAGAAUACACUUAAGAUGAACUACGGCGUUAAAAGGUUGUGCUUAAACAAUUGUGGCAUAAUAUAUAUAAUGGUAAUAUUAUCUAUGAUUAUAAAAAACAAAAAGAUAUUUUUGAUGUAAAAAUUAUGUAAAACAAAUAAAUAAUGUGCAAUUA